rnacentral:lncRNA from 1 species
UUUUUUCUUUUUUUUUAAAGCUGAGUUUCCAUAAUUUCUAAGUAUAAAAUUCCAUCCAAUACUAAAAAGAAAUGAAGUAAUUGUUUUUAAAUUGCGUCAUUCAAAGGAGAUGGCGUUAAGUAUACAAGAUCAGUUCACAAUGUUCCCCAUGGAAGUUUCCUCCAGUUCCUAAAUCUUAUUAUAAUUCCAAAAUAUUUCAGUCAAACUGACUCUCACUUUUCGGGGGAGAGAUAAGGUAAUUGAGAAAAUGAAUUUUAAAGCUGAGAAAAUAGGAAAACUUUUAUGCCAUUGUAUAGAGAAAUACAGCAGUAAUGUUCACAGAAGUCACUUUUUAAUUCAAUUUUUCAUUCUUGUGUGAGUCUAAGAGAAAGAUAUGGGAAAGUAGUAUGAGUAUAUUAAAUUUUUCCUCUCAUGUCACAUUUAAGCAACAGUCACAUUUUUUUCAUGGAUCAUUCAAAGACAAUAGAACUUUGUACAUGAAAACUAUAAUACUGGGGGAAAAAUGACCUUGAAGAAGUCAUGUACUUGUUUUCUUGUUCUAUUAGUUGUGUAACAUAAAGAUGUGACCUUUACAAUCAAAAUUUUUAAUUAUCUAGAAAAUUCUUCUCACAAAUUUAAUGCUUUUAAAAUUUACCAGUGUCAAAAAAAAAAAAAAAAUUACCAGUGUCCUUUAUUCGCUCACUUUCUCUUAUCAUCUCUGUUACUUUGUAAAUCUACCCAUUAAGUUUGAAACUUAAUCUAUCUUACUACAAAUUAAAUAAUAUUUUUUUCUGAAUAUUUUUCAUGUUUCUGCUGGGAUCAGAAAACUAUUGUUCUGUUUGCCAUGGGCUGGAGAAGGGGGCUUUAUAAUUUUCAUCAGAAGUAAGCGCUUUCAUUGUUUACAACUGCUUGAGGAAAAAAUAUCAUGAUUCUUUUAAUUUUCCUUACCUAACUAUAAAAAUAUAAUGCUUUAUAAAGUCAUUAUAAUUUUAAUUUAAUGUAAUAUGUUAUCAUAAUAUAAUGUGAUCAUUUCCCUGGACUAUUUAAAAGACUUUUAAUGCCAGUUACAGAGAUGAUAAUCAUUAAGCUUAAAUGCUAUAACCAAACCAUUGAUAUUCAAUGAAAUAGUGAAAGAUGCCAAUGAUGAUACUGAUAUUUGUGACCUAUUUGCUGGUUUGCAUAUUGAACCCUUCAGCAGUCGUUAUUCAAAAAGCACUUUAAAAUGAUCUCAAGGUGUAAAACUUAUAAAUACUAAUGUACACAAUCACUUCAACAAAUAAUUUUUAGUUGUGAUUUACCUUAAGUAAAAAUGUAAAUAGGAGUUAAAUACCAAAGAAACAAUUUAAUAGUGCAUCUACCAAUGUAAUAUCAAAAAUGUUCACCACCUUUAUUGCAUCAGUUCUAGAAGAAAGAUCUUGCUCUUCGUUUGAUCCCAUAAAUCUGGCAAUUGGUAGUAUGCUUAUUUUAAUUAUUUUAUGUCAUAUCAAAAAGAGACAUAAAAACCACAAAUGCUAAAAUAGGGAGAUCUUGUUAUGUAAACUUUUCUGAAUGACUGAAUUUUUUUAUUUGAUAAUUAUUCUUAAAAAACACACAGAAUAGCAUAAGUCCUAUAUCUUAAAAUUUCAAAAUAUUUGGUAUUAAAAAAAAUGUGUCACUGAACAGUAACACACAAGGAAUGCUUCCUUGUCAGGCAAGGAGAUAUUUGUAUUCUCUGUGGGGAUGUGAGCUGAGAUAUUCAUCAGGCAGAGCUUAAAUUCUCCAUUUCACUCGUUGACAAAUCUAUUGGGAUGUCUAGUUCUCCCAAGAAUGAUUUGCUAGCGAUACGAAGAGAAAGAUAUGAAGAAAAGAAGAUUGAUAUCAGGAUAUAUUUAGAGAGUGUUAAAAGAGAUGCCUGCGUAACAUGGAGAUAGAAUCUAAAUAAACCUAGUUCAAUCUAAGACAAAUGUUAUCAUUGCUCGAAAUUUACCUAAGCAAAGCAACAUCAGUCAUUUACGCUGGAUGAUAUUUAACAGGCAACUUGGAAAUUAAAUUUAUUUUAUAUUGACUUUUUAAUGUUUAUGCCCUUUUUUUCUAACCAUGUUCCCUACUAGAGCUUAUAUUUCUGAAUAAAAGUAACUUUUAAUUUAAUUUAAUUUAAUUUUUUUGCACAGGGUUGGGUUUUGGCAAUGUAUAGAAAGACUGUCCUUCAUUAGAACUAUAUAUCUCUAAAAAUCAAGAAAAAAAAGAAAAUAAACUUCUUUGUUACUUUUUUUCUCCGAGUACUAAUCAUGCUUUUUCCUUGUGUGGAAAGAAGAAUUGAACACUCUAAAAAAAAUUACCUCUUUAAAAACAGAUUGCAGUUUUCUAUUUAACCCCAACUAUACUAUUUCUAUUUAACAGAAGCAUUCAGAAUAAAAAUACCAGCUUAUUUGAGAAUGCCCAGGGAAAUAAGGCAGAGGAAGGAGGGCCAGAGGGGAUGUCAAAAUAUUUUAAAAAUUAUAUCCCAUAUGUAGAAAGUUGAGCUUAUUUUCUAAUAUGCUUACCCCCUAUAAUUCAUAAAAGCAAAACAAGAAAAGUAAAUAUUUAAAGUCUAUUACUUUAUCUUUGUACAACAAUUAACAUUAGUGAAUGCCAAAAGACAUCAAUCCCUCCUUGAACAUUAGUAGAAAUAAAAGAUUAGAGAAUUUUUUAUACAGAGGAAGAACAAGACAAUGUUUGAAGUCUAAAAACUUCUCUUUGGUAAAUAUUUGGAACUUAGGGAAUGAGAAAUGAAGACAGAAAAAUUAGACUAUGGGCAUAGUCCAGAAAAAAUAUACAUGUAUAUGAUUUAAGUGAACUCAGUGGAAAAAGGGGAAGAUAUGCGUCAGACAUAUUUAGAGGCAUAACAUACAAAAUUAAAUAAAUUAAUAUAGGAGGGUAUAAGCUGGAAGAUUUUGCCACUAUUCUAUAGAUUUAUGUUUUCUAUAAAUAAGCAAUGGAAAGUUUAUUAAUAAUGAACUGGGAUUUCCUGUGUGGCUCAGUGGGUUAAGGAUCCAGAGUUGUCACUGCUCUGGUGUGGGUUUGAUCUCUGGACCAGGAAC